CACAUACACACCUAAGCACACACAGCAUCAGGCCGUUAAAUUGCUUUCUUGUUGUUUUCCAGCGUAAAGCUUCAGGGAGAGAAUGCUAAAUUGAGGCAGGAAUUGGAGAAGCUUAGGUGCCUGUACAAGCUGCAAGUAAACGAGUAAACGAGGGGCCUGAGGAGAAAUAUGAGGAGGCAAGGCAUAACCUGUUCCAAGCCCAGCUGAUACAGCUUAAGAGACAGUGUCAGCAUUCGGCGGUGAUAUCUGGUUGUCACGGAAACAUAGUCCCAUGAUCCCAAGCCCACAGCUGAGUCCCAGGAAGAAAAGAGAGAAAGAGAUGCAGUGUACCAGCCUGAUCAUUUCCACAAGAAAAUGAGGUGAGAGUAAACACUGUCACUCCAAGUCAA